rnacentral:lncRNA from 1 species
AAGUAUCUCUAUGAACUCGACAUCAGCAACAAUAAAUUCACCGGUCAGUUUCCGACCGCGGUAGUUGGUAUGCCUGGUUUGUCAUUUCUUGACAUCCGUUUCAACUCUUUCUCCGGUUCAAUCCCACCACAAAUCUUUGGUCAGAACCUCGACGUUCUCUUCAUUAAUGACAACACCUUUACUGCGAGCCUCCCGGAGAUACCUGGCGAUAGUCACAUCCUUUUUCUAACUUUAGCAGACAAUAAGUUCAACGGUCCUCUCCCGAGAAGCAUCCUAAGAUCUAUGACAACGUUAACCGAGGUACUUUUCUUGAAUAACGACUUUACGGGUUGUAUCCCUUACGAAAUCGGGUUACUCAAGGGAGCAUCAGUUAUCGAUAUCAGUGGAAAUAAGCUCACAGGUCCUUUACCCCUUUCACUUAUGUGUCUAGAGAAAGUGGAGCAGCUCAACUUUGCUGGGAAUCUCUUGUUUGGGGCAAUCCCAGAUGCAGUGUGCAUGUUCCUCCGAGAGAAUCUUGUCAACUUUUCCUUGUCUGAUAACUAUUUCACACACGUGGGGCCAUGGUGUAAGAUUUUGGUUGAAAGAGGUGUUCUUGAUGUUAGGAAUAACUGUAUUCCUUUCUUCCCAGGACAAAGAUCUAUUGAAGAAUGUGCGGAGUUCUUUGUCAAACCUAAUUACUACUGUCCUCACGCAUGGUUUCAUAGUUUUCUUCCUUGUAGAUAUUCUCACAUAUCUUCUUCCUCUGCUAGUGAUUUUAUGCCCAUGGUGGCUCCCUCACCUUGAUGUUCAUCAUCAUAUAUAUCAGCGUGUUUGUUCUCUUCAUUGUAAUGAAAAUAAUCGAAUUAUGUUUCCACCAACAAAAUCAUGGUAAGAGAAGGCCAAGAGUGGUGUUGUGUUGGGAAUACAAGUAUAAUCUUGUAUUUGUUAACUAGUAUAUGAUUUCCAUGUCCAUUAAUGAAUGUGUCAAUGCCAUUUGCGUAUAGUAGUCACGAUUCGUGAUACAAAGAAAAUUCUAUUGUUUUUAUGGUUAAAUAAGACGAAUUGAUAGUUGAGUUAAUUAAAAGCAAUGCCACAGUGUUUGCCUGUAUUAAUAAAUUGAUGAUUAUAAGUACAAAAAGUGUUAUAUUAAUACGUAGACUUAUAUAGAGAUAAAAAAGAAAAAAUAUAUAUAUAGUGAGUUUGUUUGAAUGUACACCGUAGGGAUAGCGAUAACGAUAUAAUUGCGAGUAAUGUAAUAAUGUAAGUGGUCCUACUCAUGGUCUAUCAUAUAAAAUUAUAAAUCAUGUGAAUGGGCAUUUUUCCUCCACGUCUAUUGCAUUUGAUGGGUUAAAUGUACCAAAGAUAAAGAGGGGUGACCAAAGGUGACCCCUUCCUACCAAACCCAUUAACAUUUUUCGUCAACUAAUCAUUUAUAAUUUUCUUUUUCCAAUCACAAUAGACUGCAUCCAGCUAAGAAAAGGCAACCCGCAGCUACGAAAUAACAUUUAACUUACCUAUCUAUCUAUAUAUAAUACUCCAUCCGUUUUUCAAUCCGUUUUUCAAUAUAAGUCGUUUUAAAGAAACUUUUUUGUUCCAAAUUAUGUCGUUUUUGGUUUUCUAUGUAACAUUUAUUAAUAAUUAAUGUUGUCUGACCAAUGAUAAUAUAUCUUCUAUUUUUCUAUUGGUUAAAUUGUGGUUUGGUAAAUAAUUAAUGAUGUUUUUGUUUUGAAAAUAUAAAAAAUUAAUGAUUUUCUUAAUCUAUGUGCAUAGCUUUAAAACGACUUAUAUUAAAAAACGGAAGGAGUAAUAAAGAGGGGUUUUCUCUCACCACAGGCUGCCAGAUCAGCAAGGAGGAGGUAGCGUUUUUGGACAGGUGUAGCCUCAGCAAACCAACUAUAUAUGUGUAAUUCCGGUCUUAUUCGAACUGGACUUUUAUUAAAAUUUGUUAUUAAGCCCAAUAUUAUGUUAAGCCCGCGUAUUAUUAGCUAUCUUACUUCCCUGACACAAUUUCCAGAAACUUAAAUCGACGUUCAGAUCUCCGUAUCGCCUCAGCUUUCCAUUAAUCUGUUCUUAACUCAGAGUUUUUGCGUGAUCCACUCCUCUCACUGGAAGCUUUCAAUCGAUCCAGAAACAUAUUUUGUUCUAGGGACGAUGGCGACCAGCUUUCAGCCGGUCGAGUUCUUCGCAGCUGGUGGUCACGCUUUCGUUUUCACGGAGGCACCUAAUCUAUAUUAAUAAGAAGGGAGCUAAUGGGUUGAUAUCCUCCUCAAUGAUGAAAAGAUUGUCCUCCUCAUCUUCCCUCGCCUUCCUUUUCCAAUAUAAACUGCCAUCACCUAUUAUCUUAACCAUAAUAUAUUUAAUUUUAUUGAGUGCUUUUUAUAUUUAUGGUUAAUUAUAGGUUUGGAAAUUUCAUAGAGGUAUUCCAAAUUUCACAGAGAUUCAGUCCCAUAUGUUCCGUUUGAUUUGGGUCUAUGACUUUUAAAUUUUUUGUUUUUGUUAAGGAAAAGGGAUGAUGAUAGACGCGCUGCUUCUGCUGUUGCCAAAUUGAUGAUAGACGCGCUGCCUCAGAGCGUGCUGCCAAAUUGAUGAUAGACGCGCUGCUUCUGCUGUUCCUGGCUCUCGCAAGACGGUGACUUGAGGCUGCGCAAGCUCAGGUUUGGCUCCUUUGAAAUCUGUGUGUUCUUUGGUCGUUUAUAUUUUCAGUGCGUUAAGGUGUUAGCUUCUGCUUCUUGAUUAGUUUUAAACAAAGUGUGGAGUAUGUUACAACAAUCAAGCAGAAAAAUUCAAGGUAGACCGAAAGUUAGAUUCUUUGAUGUGUGAAUCUGUGGCUAUGAUGUAUUAAAACAUUUUGGUUUGCAGGAACAAAUUGUUACCAUGAAGUUAAGAUCGUAUGGAUAGUUGGAAUCUCCUAUAGUUGGAACCUCCUUUGCAGCUGAAGAAUAAGCCUGUCGCUUCAAGUUUCUUACACACAGCUCCUCAUCAUGGGAACUUCGUAGACUCUGCUUCUGGUGGUUAAAGUUUUCAUUCAUAAACAUCGGAAUAACAAAGGAAAAUUUUGACUUUUGAGAUUCAGGUUCCAUGAGCACUAAAGUUUGGUUUUGGAUAGGGAGUUUAGGUAAGACGUUCCUGACUCUUGAUCGACGCACAUGGAAAGUCACUGCAGACGUAGCUGAAGGCGACACUGACGAUAUCAACCAGGCGGUGAAAGCUGCAAGGAAGACCAUUGAUGUGGACCUUGGCCAAAAGAUGACCGCUUAUGUGUAAUAUUAUAUAUUGUUCUCGAGUAUUGAAAGUUAUGAAAUUAAUGUGAUAUGGACUUAUCUUUGUUUUGUUUUCAGGAAAGGUGAAGGACAAUGUUGAGAUUCAUGGGACAAUGGGAAGACCUAUGAACAAGCAAAAAAAGCAGAGAUUCUAGUGCUUGCCAGAUUGUUUCACUCCUAUGCUGGUAUACCACACAAAAAUCUUGAGAAUAUUAUAAAAGUUUCUUGCUUUUAUUAGUAAGUUUGCUUUGAUGUGUAGGAUGUGCGGAUAAGAUUCAUGGACUAAUUAACAGUUCCAGUUGAUGGAAACUAUCAUGUCCAGACACUGCAUGAACCAAAAGGUGUUGCUGGACAGAUCAUUUCAUGGAACUUUCCGCUUCUUAUGGUUGCUUGGAAAGUUGGUCUUUCUCUUUCUUGUGGUAAAACCAUUGUCCUCAAAACCGCCGAACAAACUCCCCUCACUGCUUUUUACGGAAAGCUUUUCCUUGAAGUAAUCAAUGUUCCUUUCACCUGCUACUUACCAUUCUUGCUACUAAAAUAAAAAGCUGUAAGUAAACAAUGUUUCUUGAAAUGUAUGAUAGGCAGGUCUUCCUCUUGGUGUUAUAAACAUAGUUUCUGAAUUUGGUCCAAUCGCAGGGACUUUCCUCACGAGCCUCAUGGGUUUGGCUCUUACCAAAUUUUCUAAGUACAUCUUCACUUUUUGUUCUGGCGUAUAUGUGUCUUCUUUUAUUGUUUGUUUCUCUUUAAUUAAGAAAAGUAGGGAUUGGCUAUAAGCUCUAGCUGUGUGGUUGAUUCAGAACAAUGAUUGGCACGCGCUGUAUCCUUUGACUUAUUUUUUUUUCUUUUUCUUAAUCGCAUCUCACCAUAUUUUUCCUCUCUUUUGCUUAAUCGCACGGUACCAUACUCAAUUUUGCUCUCGAUUGUUGUCAGGUUAAUAUAAUAGAUACUCGACUCAUCACUGAAGUUGAGGGAGGGAAGUCUCUUAGAAAACCAACAUAUAGAAGCUAUAUCAGUUUAGAGAAACAGGGAAGAAGCAAGAGAGGAGAGAUGCACAUACAUAGCCAAGAAGAUGCAAGAACUUAACAAAGAGCAGAGGAGGAAAAGUCACUAGCUUUAGCUGCUCAAGCGGAGCUCAGAAACGCGAAGGAAGAGUCAGGUUAAGCGAAGACAGGAGUCUCUUCAAUAGAAAGUCAAUUGAGGCGGAAAGGGAAAUGAGUGGGGUGAUGGAAUUCAUGGACCAUAGUCAGCUACAAUGCCUAUACAAUGUGGUCGCUGAAGCCUUCGAGAGAGAAGGAGACUUGAAACAAAUGGAAUAUUUAUUAAGGCUACUGCAAUCAGAGAGAAUAAAACAAAGAUGUGUUCACCUUUGUCAUUUUAUAAGGAUUUAUGACAUAUAAGUGACUUUGAAGGGUACUUCUCAAAACUUUAUGCUAAUCUCAGAUUAGUCUAUAAAUGAUAAACUGUACAAAUGAUUUAUUAACUUUUUAUGCCUGGUUUGUCAUUUCUUGACAUCCGUUUCAACUCUUUCUCCGGUUCAAUCCCACCACAAAUCUUUGGUCAGAACCUCGACGUUCUCUUCAUUAAUGACAACACCUUUACUGCGAGCCUCCCGGAGAUACCUGGCGAUAGUCACAUCCUUUUUCUAACUUUAGCAGACAAUAAGUUCAACGGUCCUCUCCCGAGAAGCAUCCUAAGAUCUAUGACAACGUUAACCGAGGUACUUUUCUUGAAUAACGACUUUACG